UUGAACUGUAUGGGAAGAAGUGGCUAGAAGCCAUUUAAAAUAAUAUAGAAAAUUUCAAAGAAAUGAUAUAAAAUAAUAAAAGUAAAAUCUAAAAUAUAAUCAGAAAAAUUAUUAUUUUUUUACUUGGUUGGUAAUAAUGAAGUCUGACUGCUGGAUGUUAUUAAUUGUGGCUUGAAAUCAUCAUAAAACAAAACGAACUGUUUUGAACUAGCAAUGCAAAAUAGCAUGGAUUUUAGUGACCUGAUGAACAGGGCUUCAAAGAAUCAAGAAAACGUGGUGAAUAAUGUUAAAAAUAAAAAGUCCAAAGACAAUGGCUCAAAUCAAGUUUCAAGUGCGGCAGUUAAAGCUUUUUUGGCGCGACAAAAUGCCGAGAAAAUCAAGCAAAAAGAACAGGAAGAAGCUGCCAGACGAGCGAGAAUACAAGCACGACUGCAGGGAAAGCAACUGGAUAAAUCAAAGACAAAGACGAAUACUGAAGAUGUUAAUAAAGCUGGUGAACGAACCCAACAAACUUCUGCAAUAAAUAAACAUACACGGAGAGGUUAUGACUCGACUUCUUCUAUAUCCAAAAAACAGUCAAAACACAAUUUAGCUCAAAAGAAAAAGUCCGAAGAUGAAAGACAACUUUCAAAGUCGAAAGAGAAUGAAAAGUUGAAAAAUUCGUCUCAAGAAAGGACUAAUACGACCAUAGAAAAGAAACAUAUUGGAAAAGUUAAAAAACCUCCACCACCAAAUUUGAGUUUUCAGGAAUUGAUGAACGUUGCUAAAAAACAGGCGGAUAAUCCCGAAGCGUUCCGAGCUGUGAACGAGCAAACAUCGGGAAACGAUAGUCGGGAGAGAACACAAACGAAUGAUCAAUCCAUGAACGAUUGGAGAAAUGAGGAAAUAAGAAUUCCAGGGAAGAAUUAUAAAGGUACUGGUAAUAAUGAUCGAAAAAAAGACACAGUUUCGCAAGAUAAACAAAGUUCGAAAAAGACGGAGAAAAAGUUACCAGAAAGUAAACAUACAAAAGGAAAAAACUCCGAAAGACAGGAUCAAAUAUCAUCGGAAAUUCGCCAUCGGAAAGCUCCGUCGACUGUCGAUCGAAAAGUCUCAAAAGGAAAUAAUCCAAAAUUGUCUAAAAAUUCAAAUGUAGAUUUGAGGGGUAAAACAUUUCAGAAACCAAAAGUGAUGACGAUAGAACGUGAAACAAUUUCUCAGAAAGACUAUGGCACGCCAAUGAAAUACCAAGGACAUAAAGAAUAUUUUCAACGUAAAAGACGACACAACCCGUACGAGGAGGAAGAGGAAGAGGAUGAUGACUUUAUUGAUGAUAGCGAGGAGGCACCAGAUACUAUUUCUAGUUACAUCAAGGAAAUUUUCGGAUACGACAAGAAUAAAUACUGCUGUCUACAAACGAUGUUGCGAUGAAAUGGUUUGCAUGAAUUUCCAUGGAUAUGCAGAGAUGUAGCUGCACCUAAUUUUGUUUGGCAUUCAAUUGGGCAAACUUGAUUUCGAUGAGUAAUUUUUAUUUUGAAAUUAUUCUAUCAUUUCUUGCUGUUAUGAAAUAAAAAAGGUUUCGUGGUCGAGAUGAAGAUACUAGCAACAUGGAGUCAAGUUUUGGCGACAUUCAAAGAGAAGAAGC
rnacentral:misc_RNA from 1 species